GUUUUCUUAACUAGAGUUCAGUUGAACAAAAACAGCGAUGAAGAUACAAUUUAUUGCACUUUUUCUUGUCCUCAGUUUAAUGUUGAUGGUAGCCGAGGGAAGACCUAAAUCCUAUCUCAUUGAAACUCUAGAUGAACCCCAGCAGGCACCAGGGAAAGGAUAUUUACAGACUGCGGCUCCUGAGAUAAAACCUAAUCCUGGAUAUAAGAAGAAGGAUGGCGAUUAUAUAUUCGAUCCAUGAACAUUAUAGAAAAUAUGAAAUAUUAAUUAUUUAAAAAUAAACGCAUCUUUUUUGCCUAAGACUGA